GACGAACGCUGGCGGCGUGCUUAACACAUGCAAGUCGAACGGAAAGGCCCCUUUGGGGGUACUCGAGUGGCGAACGGGUGAGUAACACGUGAGUAACCUGCCCUUGACUUCGGGAUAACUUCAGGAAACUGGGGCUAAUACCGGAUAGGAAUCCUUGCUGCAUGGUGGGGGUUGGAAAGCUUCGGCGGUUUUGGAUGGACUCGCGGCUUAUCAGCUUGUUGGUGGGGUAGUGGCUUACCAAGGCUUUGACGGGUAGCCGGCCUGAGAGGGCGACCGGCCACGUUGGGGCUGAGACAGGGCCCGGACCCCACGGGGAGGGAGAGGUGGGGAAUUUUCAACAAUGGGCGGAGCCCUGAUGCAGCAACGCCGGGGGGGGGAUGACGGCUUUGGGGUUGUAACCCGUUUUCAGCAGGGGGGAAGUUGGUGGGGGCGGUCCCUGCAGAAGAAGCACCGGCUAACUGCGU
rnacentral:rRNA from 1 species